CGUAUGAACUUCUCAAAGGGACCUGUAACAAUAUCUCUAAAGAACUCGACGGAAUCCGUCAACUCCUGCGCACUCUUGCCCUUCCACUUAACGGCGAGCAAUGGCACAGCUUCAUCUUCCAAGUACACUCCUAUCGCCGUGAAUUUCACGAACUUGCCUUGGAUCUCCAAUCCUCUAACCCCUGCGCCUCCAAGGAAGAGAGUUUUGUUUGAGGCCGGAGGUUUGACGGCCGGCGAGAAAGCUAUGUUUUCGACAUUGAUAUGAGUAAGGGAAGUUGCUGCCGCGAGACAUCGUUGUUAUGUUUUCACUGGGAGUGUUUCCGUUUCGAAGAGGUGAAACGCCUCGUUUUAUAGCGAGAACAGGGGAGUUGGUUAGCGAGUAAAAUGGGGAAGCCAACGGGCGUUUACAAG
rnacentral:misc_RNA from 1 species